CGCCUACGGGACGCAGCAGUGGGGAAUAUUGGGCAAUGGGCGCAAGCCUGACCCAGCAACGCCGCGUGAAGGAAGAAGGCUUUCGGGUUGUAAACUUCUUUUGUCAGGGACGAAGCAAGUGACGGUACCUGACGAAUAAGCCACGGCUAACUACGUGCCAGCAGCCGCGGUAAUACGGAGGAUGCGAGCGUUAUCCGGAUUUAGUGGGUUUAAAGGGUGCGUAGGCGGAAUAUCAAGUCAGCGGUAAAAAUUCGGGGCUCAACCCCGUCGUGCCGUUGAAACUGAUGUUCU
rnacentral:rRNA from 1 species